GAUGAACGCUGGCGGCGUGCCUAAUACAUGCAAGUCGAGCGAACGGACGAGGAGCUUGCUUCUCUGAUGUUAGCGGCGGACGGGUGAGUAACACGUGGAUAACCUACCUGUAAGACUGGGAUAACUUCGGGAAACCGUAGCUAAUACCGGAUAAUAUUUUGCACCGCAUGGUUCAAAAGUGAAAGACGGUCUUGCUGUCACUUAUAGAUGGAUCCGCGCUGCAUUAGCUAGUUGGUAAGGUAACGGCUUACCAAGGCAACGAGGCAUAGCCGACCUGAGAGGGUGAUCGGCCACACUGGAACGGAGACACGGUCCAGGCUCCUACGGGAGGCAGCAGUAGGGAAUCUUCCGCAAUGGGCGAAAGCCUGACGGAGCAACGCCGCGUGAGUGAUGAAGGUCUUCGGAUCGUAAAACUCUGUUAUUAGGGAAGAACAUAUGUGUAAGUAACUGUGCACAGCUUGACGGUACCUAAUCAGAAAGCCACGGCUAACUACGUG
rnacentral:rRNA from 1 species